UCACAAGGCUGAGUACGAAGAGCACGUAUAUGCGCUAAAAGCAUUGUCUAUAUCUUUACUUAUUGAAAAUUAAAUAAGAAUAGAAUACGUUCAUAUUAGCGCUAAAAGCAUGCUCCCCGAAUCCCGAACCUAGCCUUGGCCCUUAUCGACACAUGGUCUAGGUCUAGCGGGUAACCAAUAGUGAGGCACUCACGCACUGCUUUCCGUCUGUCUGCUGUUCGCGUAAUGAUACAGUAACAAUAAUAUUUUUGUAUUAUCUAGAAUUACAUAUGAGAGAUAUGAUAAAAUGUGUUUUUAUACGUUACGUUUACUCUCGUAAAACUUUUUAAUUUGCUUCAUAUAAAAAAAGUGUAAUAUAUUGUAUAUUUCUCACGUUUUUUUUUAUAUAUAACCUCCAAAGUGUAUAAGAUAACGAAUUAGUAUAAUCUAAGUUUUGCAAAUCAAUUUAUUGAAAUAUGCCAAAAGGACGGUCACUAAAACAAAGGAGUGUAUACAGAAAAGCAGCUCAAAAAGCAAAUUUGUCUAUUGUUAUGAAAAGUUCCAGAGCCUGUUUAAAAAAUUAUUAUUUGAAAAGUAAGGAAAGAAUGUUGCAAAGAACUAAAAUGGAAUAAUAUUUUCAAGAACGAAAUCGUUUUCAAUCCACUGUGUAACCUCUUUUUGUCACGUUUGUUUCUCAUCUAUAUGAAGUUCGUUCCAUAUAUUCGUUAUUGUUGAUUCAUCCAUUCGACAUCCAUCGGAUAUCUCCUGAACAUAUCAAGGAUUAAACCACGUUCACCAAUUCCAUAUUUGGAUAUGUCAUGGACAUUCAUUACAUAUAUUUGAGGGACAUAAAAUGGAUUUAGGAUAUUCUCAACAUGCUUGAAGAAUAUUUGUAGGAUAUUUCUCAGAUAUCUGUGCGCUAUCUGGGCAUUACUGUUGCCGCGUAACGCAUUUAUUUCAUGAUAUGUAUUUCUCGCCUCAAGAAACGUUUUGUUUUAAUGUGUCUUGUGAUUGCCGCCAGUUUUUGAGCUCUUGUAAAAUAUUCAUGACAUUUAUAGAAAGUAAGUGGUAUUUUUACAUAUACAUACACACACGUAUGCAAUUAAAGAGAGUUUAGAAUCUGUAGUUACAAUAGUUAAAUAUUGUAGUUACAAUAGUUAAAUAUUGACGAACCACAGGGUUUCUCUCUCUCUCCUGAUCUCACCUAUAAGCUAUACACAGAACACACGUGUAUAUAAACACAUACGUCUAUAUAUAUAUUUUUACUCUAUAUUCCAGCAGCUGUUAUUUGUUUUUUGUUCUAUUUUCUUUUUAUUUUUAUAAUCGUCAUGGAAAUGUGUGAUGAAUUGACCAAAAAACGUAAGCGAGGUUUUGCAGAAGCUUGGCUUAAUGAUGAUCGAUACAAAUCUUGGAUACGCAAAGUAUCAUCUGAUCAUAGUCUUUAUUAUUGCAGUAUAUGCAAUAAAAAUUUUUCGUGUAAUUCAACACAUAUAUCUAGACAUGCGGAUUCUGCGUAUCACAGAAAUAAUAUUAAUAAAGCACAAACAAUAUUAGCUGACAUUAAUUGUAAAGAUGACUUAGAAAUUAAAAAAUCGCGUAAAUCUGUAUUUCAACACAGAUGGUUAGAAAUUGACCAAUUUAAAUGUUGGUUACAUGAAGUGCCACAUGACGGAAGUUUAUUUUUUUGUUCGAUUUGCGAUAAAUCUAUUGUUGGCGGUUUAUCGCAAAUCUAUCGUCACGCAGAAUCUAAAGCACAUAUAAAUAAAUAUGAAAAAAAUUGUAUUGAAUUAAGCAAAUCGAAUGAAGAUCCGAAAAUGCAAAUUAAUGAAUCGCUUUUGACGUUUGAUGAGCGUAAAAAAUCAGCAGAAAUUAGAUAUGCCGCAUUAAUUGCUGACAAAAAUAUUCCCCAUCAAACUGCAGAAGAGAUUCUCGGCUUCUUUCAAAAUAUAGGAAAAGAUCGUGAUGUAUUAAAAAGUAUGCAAAUAGGCCGACCAAAAUUAUAUUAAUAUACUAACAUUAUCACAAAUAUUUUAUGCCUGGUUAAGACGUAUCAUUAAUAAAAUUUUGUGUCCUAAAUUUUUAAUUUUUAUUAAAUUUUAUUGAAACGUCUGAUAUUAUUAAUGAUAAAUUGCUUUUUUGGUCCGAUACAUUGAUUUGGAGACAUUAGAUAUUCACUUAUAAUUAGUAGAAUUAAUUAAUAUUGAUGUCAAUGAUUCAAGCGUAGAAAAAUUAUUUCAUACAUUUAAAUGUGAAAUGUGGGAAAUAUUUCAUAUUUAGCCCGGAUCUACAAUAGAUGUAGUAAGUCUUAAGCUAUAAAAAAUUGAUCAAUCACAGUCAAAUGUGAGAAGAAUAAUCAAUUAUUAUUGUUAAUUUUUUACGGUUUAAAGUUUACUGCAUCUAUUGUAGAUCCAGCCUUACAUUUUUUUUGACGUAAACUUAAUAUCAGUAAAGCUCAGUUUUUUUACAGUUUUACGAUAUAUUGUAAAAACAGUUAUGUAAAUAAUAAUUAUAUAAAUUAUAUUAAACAAUAAAAUUAAUUAUAAAAGUUUA